rnacentral:rRNA from 1 species
UACGUAGGGGGCAAGCGUUAUCCGGAUUUACUGGGUGUAAAGGGAGCGUAGACGGCAAUGCAAGCCUGGAGUGAAAGGCGGGGGCCCAACCCCCGGACUGCUCUGGAAACUGUAUAGCUGGAGUGCAGGAGAGGUAAGUGGAAUUCCUAGUGUAGCGGUGAAAUGCGUAGAUAUUAGGAGGAACACCAGUGGCGAAGGCGGCUUACUGGACUGUAACUGACGUUGAGGCUCGAAAGCGUGGGGAGCAAACAGG